rnacentral:rRNA from 1 species
UAGGGCAGUAGCGCGGUGGUCCCACCUGACCCCAUGCCGAACUCAGAAGUGAAACGCCGUAGCGCCGAUGGUAGUGUGGGGUCUCCCCAUGCGAGAGUAGGGAACUGCCAGGC